CGGGAAAAGGGAAAGGCUUAGUGGCGGACGGGUGAGUAACGCGUGGGUAACCUGGCCCAUACAGGGGGAUAACACUUAGAAAUAGGUGCUAAUACCGCAUAACAACAGAAAGCGCAUGCUUUUUGUUUGAAAACCAAGGUGGUAUGGGAUGGACCCGCGUCUGAUUAGCUGGUUGGCGGGGUAAAGGCCCACCAAGGCGACGAUCAGUAGCCGGCCUGAGAGGGUGGACGGCCACAUUGGGACUGAGACACGGCCCAAACUCCUACGGGAGGCAGCAG
rnacentral:rRNA from 1 species